CUGGGUCCAUCGCGCUCCUCGGGCAGGUGAGGCGAAUGAGGAUUUUUGAUUUUGACGAGGAUCGGAAGAGAGAGAAUGAGAGUGGGCGAAAGGAUUGCGAGUGGGGAUUAGAGGGACAGCUGUUAAUAGAACAUAUGACGCAAGCUCAGUCGGGAUUCUGGCUUGACUGGGAGUGUGUACAUAGUGCGGUUUAGAGAUAGAAUAGAGAAGAGAGAGCUAGCGAGAGGGAGAAGCGCGAGUCCGGGAGCUAGAAGUGACGCCGGUGUAUUGAUCGGGGCUUGCGCUCUGGAUGCUCGGAAAGGUAGAGUAGCAGUGAGGAAGCAGCAGAUUGAGAGAAGGUCUUCUCUCAGUGAUAGCCAGACCCUGGACAAAGAAGAAGAGAAAAUAUGACUGCCGUAUCCGCGUGCACGCGUUUCAGCGACAACUACGACCUGAAGGAAGAACUCGGAAAGGGUGCUUUCUCCGUAGUUCGCCGCUGCGUGCAAAAGUGCACAGGCUGUGAGUUUGCGGCGAAAAUAAUUAACACGAAAAAACUUUCAGCGCGAGAUGAAGAAAUCAAGUUAAAUGAACUUCUCAGGUAUUACCCUAGAAAAGGUCUUUGGACCCUUCAGGAAAGCAGUAAAUUCAUAAUCUACUUUCAGAAGCUUGAAAGAGAAGCAAGGAUAUGCAGAAAAUUGCAACAUCCAAAUAUUGUUAGACUGCAUGACAGUAUUCAGGAAGAGAAUUUCCAUUACCUCGUGUUUGACCUAGUUACUGGAGGGGAAUUAUUUGAGGAUAUUGUAGCUAGAGAAUUUUACUCAGAGGCUGAUGCAUCACACUGCAUUCAGCAGAUUUUAGAAAGUGUUAAUCACUGCCAUCAAAAUGGAGUAGUUCAUAGAGAUCUAAAGCCUGAAAAUUUACUAUUAGCAAGUAAAGCAAAAGGUGCAGCAGUCAAGUUAGCUGAUUUUGGUUUAGCAAUUGAAGUCACAGGAGAACAACAAGCAUGGUUUGGAUUUGCUGGAACUCCAGGAUAUCUUUCACCAGAAGUACUUAAAAAGGAGCCGUACGGCAAACCAGUUGAUAUUUGGGCCUGUGGCGUUAUACUAUAUAUUUUACUUGUUGGUUAUCCUCCAUUUUGGGAUGAAGACCAACACAGACUGUAUGGACAAAUCAAAGCAGGAGCUUAUGAUUACCCCUCACCUGAAUGGGACACGGUGACACCCGAUGCAAAAAACCUAAUCAAUCAAAUGUUAACUGUUAACCCGACAAAGCGAAUAACAGCGUCUGAAGCACUAAAACAUCCAUGGAUAUGCCAACGAGAACGAGUUGCCUCAUUGGUGCAUAGACAAGAAACUGUAGACUGCUUGAAGAAAUUUAACGCUAGGCGUAAACUUAAGGGUGCAAUCCUUACGACGAUGUUAGCAACAAGAAAUUUCUCCAGUAAGUAUGAUACUGAUGGUCGAAGUAUAAUAACAAAAAAAGGCGACGGAUCUCAAGUGAAAGAAUCAACUGACAGUAGUACAACACUAGAGGACGACGAUGUCAAAGAGGACAAGGUAAAAGGCGGAGUGGAUCGUAGUUCAACAGUCAUAGCUAAAGACCCCGAAGAAAGCUCAGAUUACUGCUAUCAUCCGUUAAGGAUAAACUCCGAAGAAACAGAAGGGCCAACGCAGAUGUUCAAAUGUAUCUUGUCAUGAGUUGAAACCGUCAUGUUCUUGUUAUAUACAUUGGGUUGUUACCCCUCUGAUCUAGAACUAAGGAUCCACUGCUCGAAGACAGUCUCCCAGCUCUCGACAAACUCUUGUGGUUCAGCUAAGAAGCAAGAAGUGAUAAAAA
rnacentral:misc_RNA from 1 species